rnacentral:rRNA from 1 species
ACAGAGGGUGCGAGCGUUGUCCGGAAUCACUGGGCGUAAAGGGCGCGUAGGUGGCUAGGUAAGCGUGUGGUGAAAGUCCGGGGCUCAACCCCGGAUCUGCCGUGCGAACUGCCAAGCUCGAGCGAUGUAGAGGCAGGUGGAAUUUCGGGUGUAGCGGUGGAAUGCGUAGAGAUCCGAAAGAACACCAGUGGCGAAGGCGGCCUGCUGGGCAUUUGCUGACACUGAGGCGCGACAGCGUGGGGAGCAAACAGGAUUAGAUACCCUGGUAGUCCACGCCGUAAACGAUGGGUACUAGGUGUCUGGGGGAGCGACCCCCUGGGUGCCGACGCUAACGCAUGAAGUACCCCGCCUGGGGAGUACGGCCGCAAGGCUG